rnacentral:tRNA from 1 species
GGAUUGUGGCUCAGUGGUACAGUGUUUGCCUAGCAUGUGUGAGGCACUGGGUUCAAUCCCCGGCACCA